CACCUCUAGCAUUACAAGUAUUAGAGGCACUGCCUGCCCAGUGACUUAAGUUUAACGGCCGCGGUAUCCUGACCGUGCAAAGGUAGCAUAAUCACUUGUUCCUUAAUUAGGGACUCGCAUGAACGGCUAAACGAGGGUCCAACUGUCUCUUAUUUUUAAUCAGUGAAAUUGACCUUCCAGUGAAGAGGCUGGAAUAAUAUAAUAAGACGAGAAGACCCUAUGGAGCUUAAAUUAAUAAACUUAUUUAUUAUAUACUAAACCUAAUGGCACAAAAAACAAAUAAAAUAAAUUUAAAAUUUUGGUUGGGGUGACCUCGGAGAACAAAAAAUCCUCCGAACGAUUGUAACUUAGACUAACAAGUCUCAGUAACCUAAUUCCAAUUGACCCAAAAAUAUUUGAUCAACGGACCAAGUUACCCUAGGGAUAACAGCGCAAUCCUAUUUAAGAGUCCCUAUCGACAAUAGGGUUUACGACCUCGAUGUUGGAUCAGGACAUCCCAAUGGUGCAGAAGCUAUUAAUGGUUCGUUUGUUCAA
rnacentral:rRNA from 1 species